UACGUAGGGUGCGAGCGUUAAUCGGAAUUACUGGGCGUAAAGGGUGCGCAGGCGGCUUUGUAAGUUAGAGGUGAAAGCCCGGAGCUUAACUCCGGAACUGCCUUUAAGACUGCAUCGCUAGAAUCGUGGAGAGGUGAGUGGAAUUCCGAGUGUAGAGGUGAAAUUCGUAGAUAUUCGGAAGAACACCAGUGGCGAAGGCGACUCACUGGACCGGUACUGACGCUGAGGUGGCGAAAGCGUGGGGAGCAAACAGG
rnacentral:rRNA from 1 species